AGUAACGCGUGGGUAACCUGCCCUAUACACAUGGAUAACAUACUGAAAAGUUUACUAAUACAUGAUAAUAUAUAUUUACGGCAUCGUAGAUAUAUCAAAGUGUUAGCGGUAUAGGAUGGACCCGCGUCUGAUUAGCUAGUUGGUGAGAUAACUGCCCACCAAGGCGACGAUCAGUAGCCGACCUGAGAGGGUGAUCGGCCACAUUGGAACUGAGACACGGUCCAAACUCCUACGGGAGGCAGCAGCC
rnacentral:rRNA from 1 species